AGCUAUUAAAUAUGUUAAUUAAUUGAAAGUAGAACGGGACACGAGGAAUCCUGUUUGAAUAUAGGGAGACCACUUCCUAAGCCUAAAUAUUUAUGUAUAACCGAUAGUGAACUAGUACCGUGAGGGAAAGGUGAAAUAGAGCCUGAGUAAGGCAGUGAAAUAGAUCCUGAAACCGGAUGCUGACAAGCAGUCGUAGGGCUCUUAAGUCUGACGAUGUACCUUUUGCAUAAUGGGUCAACGAGUUAAUGUUGUGAGCACAGCUUAAGGGCGUUUGCCUGUAGGCGAAGCGAAAGCGAGUUUUAAAUGGGCGUUAAGUUCACGGCAUUAAACCCGAAACCGAGUGAUCUAACCAUGAACAGAUUGAAGGUUGGUUAAUACUGACUGGAGGAUCGAACCCGUGUCUGUUGCAAAAUACUGGGAUGAUUUGUGGUUAGGGGUGAAAGGCCAAUCAAACUCGGAGAUAGCUGGUUCUCUGCGAAAUCUAUUUAGGUAGAGUGUUAAAUUUAUUUUAAUGGGGGUAGAGCUCUGGAUGGAUGAUGGGAUGUAAAAAUCUACUGAUUUCAACCAAACUUUGAAUACCAUUAAAUAUGUGUUUAGCAAACACACUAUGGGCGCUAACGUCCGUGGUGAAGAGGGAAACAACCCAGACCUUAAGAUAAGGUCCUUAAAUUUGAGCUAAGUGUGAAAAGCUGUAAUUGUCUUAAGACAAUCAGGAUGUAGGCUUAGAAGCGGCCAUCAUUUAAAGAAAGCGUAACAGCUCACUGAUCUAUGGACAAUUGCGCUGAAAAUGUAUCGGGACUAAGCUCAGGACCGAAGCUAAGGGUACUGCCUAUUUGGCAGUGCGGUAGCAGAGCAUUCCGUAGACUGAAGAAAGUGAAUUGUGAGGUUUGCUGGAGGUAUCGGAAGUGAAAAUGUUGACAUGAGUAACGUAAAUGAGAGUGAAAAUCUUUCACGCUGAAAGACCAAGGUUUCCUAUUUAAAGUUUAUCUGAAUAGGGUUAGCCGGUACCUAAGGUAAAGCGGAAGCGCAUAGCCGAUGGAAAUCACGUUAAUAUUCGUGAGCCUUUUUGGGUGACUUAACAUGUAGUUUGUUUAAUCUGAUGGAUUGAUUAAGCUUAUGAUUGUUAACAGGAAAAAGCCCAUAAUUUAUGGCCGUACCAUAAACCGACACUGGUGGUCUAGUAGAGUAUACUAAGGCGUUGGGAUAAUUACGCUGAAGGAACUCGGCAAAUUGCACACGUAACUUCGGAAUAAGUGUGGCCUGUUUUGGGCAACCAAAAGUAGGCGGAAUUAAAAAGAGGAAGCGACUGUUUACCAAAAACACAGGACUCUGCAAAAUCGUAAGAUGAAGUAUAGGGUCUGACGCCUGCCCAGUGCUGACAGGUUAAAUCCAAAUGUGUAAUAGCGUUUGAUAUAAGCCUCAGUAAACGGAGGCCGUAACUAUAACGGUCCAAAGGUAGCGAAAUUCCUUGUCGGAUAAGUUCCGACCUGCACGAAUGGCGUAACGACUUCCUCGCUGUCUCCAGCGUAAACCCAGUGAAAUUGAAUUCCCCGUGAAGAUGCGGGGUACCCAUGGUAAGACGGAAAGACCCCGUGCACCUUUACUAUAGCCUUGCAUUGAUACAGCUUAUUUAUCUGUGUAGAGUAGAUGGUAGGUACUGAUCAUUAAGUGUUAGCUUAAAUGUGAACCGAUAGAUGAAACACCAUUCUGGUAUUGGGUGGUAUCUUAAUUGUGGUAUGCCAAUCAUAGCGCAAGACAUUGCAUGGUGGGUAGUUUGACUGGGGCGGUCGCCUCCUAAAGAGUAACGGAGGCGUACAAAGGUAAACUCAAAACGGUUGGAAACCGUUUGUAGAGCGCAAUGGUAUAAGUUUGCCUGACUGUGAGACGUACAUGUCAAACAGAGACGAAAGUCGGUCAUAGUGAUCCGGUGGAUCUGUGUGGAAAGGCCAUCGCUUAACGGAUAAAAGGUACGCCGGGGAUAACAGGCUAAUAACUCCUGAGAGUUCUUAUCGACGGAGUUGUUUGGCACCUCGAUGUCGACUCAUCGCAUCCUGGGGCUGAAGCAGGUCCCAAGGGUAUGGCUGUUCGCCAUUUAAAGCGGUACGUGAGUUGGGUUCAGAACGUCGUGAGACAGUUCGGUCCCUAUCUACCUUGGGUGUUAGAGUGUUGACGGUAACUGUC
rnacentral:rRNA from 1 species